UGUUGCUGUACUGCCACGUUUUUGUCUGUUACCAUACCAGAGCAAACAGUAUAAUGGUAUGUGGCCACCUGGAGCUAAAGGUAUUUUAUGGACAUGUACUUAAGAGAGGGGCUUUUGCCUUUCUUUUCUUUAAUUCAGAGUUCAAGAGUAACAUUAAGAGGUUGAAUGGGUAAAUGGGAUAGUUUAAUAGAUUUGACAGCUAUAUUAUAAGUCUUCAGUGAGGUUUACUUAUUUAAAAGUAAAGAAAUCUGGGCUGUUAUAUUACAAAGGUUUUCCUCUCUUCUUUACUCUAUUCGUCCCCACUCUCCUACCUAUAUUCCUCCCACCCUUUAUACGUUCUAGUACUUUUGGCAUGUCUGAUGUCUCACAGCUCUCAUUUGUAUGCUCCCUCCACUCUACUAGAUUAAUAGAACAUAGCAUCGAUCA